GAUGAACGCUGGCGGCGUGCCUAAUACAUGCAAGUCGAGCGAACGGACGAGAAGCUUGCUUCUCUGAUGUUAGCGGCGGACGGGUGAGUAACACGUGGAUAACCUACCUAUAAGACUGGGAUAACUUCGGGAAACCGUAUCUAAUACCGGAUAAUAUUUUGAACCGCAUGGUUCAAAAGUGAAAGACGGUCUUUCUGUCACUUAUAGAUGGAUCCGCGCUGCAUUAGCUAGUUGGUAAGGUAACGGCUUACCAAGGCAACGAUGCAUAGCCGACCAGAGAGAGUGUUCGGCCAACCUGGAACAGAAACGCGGUCCAGGGUACUACGGGAGGCACCAGUAGGGAAACUACCGCAGUGGGAGAAAUCCUGACAGAGCAGAACCGCGUGAGUGAUGAAGGUCUUCGGAUCGGAAAACUCUGUUAUUAGGGAAGAACAUAUGUGUAAGUAACUGGUCACGUCGUGACGGUACCUAGUCAGAAAGCCACGGCUAACUACGUG
rnacentral:rRNA from 1 species